GCUGGUACCUCAUUGAGCUGCAUUAAUCUUAACUAUAAGCCUAACAAAAGCCUGUUUAAUAAAGAGUGUGUGAGAAGAGAAGCAGGGUGCCUCCAUCUCCAGGCUACUGCGUACAAAGCGUGCCUCUGCCGACAGCUCAAUGCAGGGAGCUGCUUGGCACUUCACACGGCUCUGUGCCGGCCAUCGUGCUCCCUGGCCUCUCUUCAGCCAUUUCAUCUGCCCCAUGGAAAGGGUGUAAGUUUUCCUCCCAACCACAGGGUUGGUCAGAGAUUGCAUCCUGGACCUGAACUCCCUGCUCAAAGCUUCACCUCAACCACUCCAUGGCAUGAAGGUGAAUCAGUAGCUCCUCACAGAACAUUUCUAACUGAAAAAAAUAGAAAUGUAUUGGCCAACUCAAAGUAUGACCAGUGCUUAUGCUGGUUCCUUCAAGGAUAUUGAGUCUCCCAGUCCUUUACACUUUGAAAAGAAUGAUUGGAAACCUUGAACACCUGCCUUAAAUCAAAAGGCUUAUGUAGCUCAAAAUAUUAAUCUUACCUAAGUUAAAAGAAAACAUCCACAAGAAGGAGAGAUUUCUGUUUUAAUCUGUUAGUAAAAAAAUAUUUUAACAGUUUAUAUAAUAAUAUAAUUUAUCAGUGGAAUAACUUGCCAGAAAUGUGGUGGAUUCUUUGCCACCAGCAGAUAUUUGGAAGGAUACCUAAGCUAACUUUAGAAGAUAGAUGACAGCUUAGCCAUGUGCUACAAUGUUGAUGUAGAAAUUUUUGGGUGGAUUCGUAUAGAUAAUUGUAAUGUUUCUCUACAGUUUUGCAGUUUGUUCAUCUGUGAACCAAAAUACAUCUUGGAUAAUGCACGAUGGCAUAUCCUGUGUUUAUCCCAUAUCCUAGAGCUUCCUUUGAAAUUGCUAUUCAUGAGCUUAAUUAUUUAAGAGUAUUCCUAUCUGGGGUUUUUCUCGCUCAGCUGUAUACCGGGGGGGGGUAUGACAGAGCAUAGCUUGCUGCAGAUCUGGGUAGAGGGGAUUCCACAUUCAGGUGUGUUGGGAGCAGGAUUUUGGUGUGGAUUUCCUUUUUUCUUUUUUUUUUUUUUUCUUCCUUUCUCCUCUUUUUUUUUUUUUUUUUUUUUCAGUUUAUUGUCCACUCUUGACACCUGAGCAAGGUGGGUUGACUGAGCAUCUAGAAACUGUUUUUUGACUUCUGCUGCCUACCACCCCUGUUAAUUGACAGUCUGCCUUCUGCCUUUCUGAUGCCAUGUAGUGCUGCCAAGCCACAUUAACUCGGCCUUACAUCUUCUGGCAUAUGCCUCCCCUGGGGCACAGUGCCUGCUGUUCAGCUCCCAGCACUGACAGAUGAAGGUAAACACUUCAGGGUAAGCAAGUCUAAUGCUCCUUAUUUGCACACCUAUGAAAAAAUCAAAGUCAGCCAUUCAUCUCUCCUGGUCGGUAAACACAGAAACCAACUGGGCUGUGCUGCAUCUGGCUCCCCGGGGGAUUGUUUUCAUAAGACUUCUUGUGAGGAUUUUUGUUGCUGAUUUUGAAAACAUUUUGAGGUUGGAUUGCAAAUGUGAUGUCCUCAUUUACAGCCUUUCCUGAACCAUAAAUCAAGGGAUAUGUAAUUAAAUGAAACAGAUAGUCAAAACCUUGACUAAGCUGUUUAUUGAGCUUUGGAAGGGAAAGAGAUUCUGUGGUUUCACAAAGAUCUAAUAUAAAGAUCCACUUAUAAAAUACAGUUGUUAAGGUUCAGGUAUGCCAGCAUUAAUGCAUGAUAGCAGCUAGCACUGUGCAGCACAUACUAGAGAAACCCAUUUGCCUGGAUGAAACCCGGACUGUAGGACACUUUGCAAUAUGAAAUGAGAACUGUUCAAAUCAAAUAACUUGCUUGGGCCUGUGAAUUAUUUAUUUAGGGCUCUUUUUCCAUAAACCAAAACAUAUUUUGCCCCCCUGACAUUUUUUCUAACAUUACUGGUAAGAGGGGAGAUCUGUAUUAUUUAUUUAUUUAUUUAUUUAUUUACUUAUUUUUAGAAUCUUCUAAGAUGUUUUAAAAUUUAAUUUUAUGACAUAGAUUAGCUUUCAAACAAAGAGCUGCUUCUACCUGAAAACAAGUUUUGAAUGGGAGGAGAAGAAAAAUGUCAAUCUUCUUGCUGGAAAAAAAAAAAAAUCCAAUUAGAUGUUUGUGAGAUAUGUAAGUCAGAACAAUGCCGCACUUUGACAAAAUUUUUGUCAAUUUUUUUGUCAAACUUUUUUGUCAAAAGAUUUUGACAAAAAAAAAAAAAAAAAAAAAAAAAAGGAAAAAAUGAUCAGUAUACCCAAGGAGCAAGAAGAGGACGAGAUUCUUGCUUUUGAGUCCUUAUUUCAGUUAGUUUAUAUCAGCUGGAUAAGUGUCCCUUCUUGCUUUUCAUCUGCCCUCCUCCCUCCCCAGCAUAAAUUGGGCAACCCGAAGCACCACGGUGGUGAUGGUCACUUUCACAAGGACUUGAGUUGAGGGUGGAGUUUACAGCACAAGCUGGGAGGCCGGGCAGUCACCGUCCUGCAUUGCUGAAGUGAUGGGGCAUCUGGGGCUCUGCGCUGUAGCACAGUGCUCUCUGCAGACCAAGUGCCACGGAGCUGGGAGCGCUGAGGCUGGCUUUCUCAGUUUUCCUUGCUGCUGGAAACAAAACACUGCAGACAGACUGACAGGUCUGGAGAGAGCACAGAGUCAUCAAGAGCCAUGUUAGAAGUCAAGCUGGUACACUCCUUAGCGUCUUUUCCAAUGUUACCUGCUGAUGUUUGAUCUGCUGUGUAAUGCAAGUGAAUGCCACUUCUCUAUUUCCCCCAU
rnacentral:lncRNA from 1 species